UCAAAGCGUUAGGGAUGGCAGCGAUAUCCUUUUGCAAUACCCAAACCUUUUUUGCAUUUCCCAAGUUCUCCUAUUGCAAAAGAUUUAGCAUACAGCCCGGCCCGUA
rnacentral:sRNA from 1 species